rnacentral:SRP_RNA from 1 species
GCCGGGUGCGGUGGCAUGUGCCUGUAAUCCAAGUCACUGGGAGGCUGAGGUUGGUGGAUCAAGUGAGCUGAGGAGCUCUGGGCUGCAGCACUGUAAGUCGAACGGGUGUCCACGCUAAGUUCGGUAUCGAUAUGGUGUUCCAGGGGGAGCCCGGGACCACCAGGUUGUCUAAGGAGGGGUGAACCGUGCUAGGUUGGAAACGAAGCAUGUAAAUCCCCCGUGCUGUCCAGUAGUGGGAUAAUACCUGUGAGUAGAUGCUGCAGUGCAGCCUUGGCAAAACAUUGAGACCUAAUCUUUU